UAUGAUCACUCGCUGUUGGCGAUACAUUGUCAGCGGCUGAGCGAAAGCAUUUAAGUGAUCCACCUGGGGAGUUACGGCCGCAAGGUUGAUACUCAAAGGAAUUGACGGGGGCCCGCACAAGCGGUGGAACAUGUGGUUUAAUUCGAUGAUACGCGAGGAACCUUACCUGGGCUUAAAUGCAGAACGACGUACCGGGAAACUGGUACUCCCUUCGGGGCGGACUGCAAGGUGCUGCAUGGUUGUCGUCAGCUCGUGCCGUGAGGUGUCGGGUUAAGUCCCAUAACGAGCGCAACCCUCAUUGUUAGUUGCCAGCGAGUAAUGUCGCGGACUCUAACGAAACUGCCGGUUCCAACCGUGAGGAAGGUGGGGAUGACGUCAAUCAGCACGGCCUUAUGUCCAGGGUACACACGUGUUACAAUGGCCAGUACAAAGGCAGCUACCACGCGAUGAUGUAUCUCUAACUGUCUCAGUUCGGAUUGAGUCGCACUGACUUAUGAAGCUGGAUCGUGUAUCGCCAUCACCCAGGCGCGUGAUACGUUCCCGGNAUGUACACACCGCCCGUCAAGCCAUGGAAGCUUGGG
rnacentral:rRNA from 1 species